GUUGAAGACAUGGCUGGCCCAUUACUGAAGCCGUUUGGAGUGGAAGGAGCACCGUUGAGUGAUGUAGGAGAGUGGCUGCUCCCGUUCAGCACUGCAGAGAAACAGACAGAAGGGAGAGACAAAAAUGAAUUAGAGCAAGGGAGAGGUGCAAGGAGAGAGCUGCACUGCUGACCGCCCGCCACAACAGGUGAAACAACAUGGCCUGUCAUUGCUAUAUAGGGAAGAAAGUAGUCUACACACCGCAUCGCCACCCUGACUGAUGUCCCCUGAACCCAUCGCUGCAACUGCGACGACCACCAGCACCCAACCAGCCAGCUGUCCCUUAGGCCCAUGAAACAGAGGGGUACUGGUGACAUCUUCCUCUGUUCAAAGGGACUACCCUUUAAAGAAGUAACCUUUGCUACUAUGUCGUCAUUGCAGAGGAUCAGGACUCUAACACCUUAUGAUUCUUUGGACAUUGAUGGACUUUUGACUGGCUGUAUGAGAAAUGCUCCCACAAUGUGUACUUGUCUGUGUUUAUUCCUUUUUUAUCUGUGCAAAUCUGCUGAAGAAAAAAGGUAUAAAGAUAAGAUAUUGAAAUAAGGGUAAAACAUCACCUUCUGCACCAAAUAAAAAAAAAACAUAUUCAGGCAUGUUUUUGUAUUAAAAAAGGCCGUUAAAAACAUGGAGAAGGGUUAAAUUAUAGAAAAACACCAGAUACACCAAAUGAUCUCCUGUGGAGUCGUCAUUUUCCUUUUCAUUUUUUGUGAUGGUGAAUGGAACAGAACACAACUCCCUGCAUGGAAUCAAACUUUGUAAACUGUUAUCCAAAUAUAUGACAAGCAUCUUAAUCCUUGUACACACUAGAAGAUUUUGAGAGAGUUUAAUGUGAGAGACCCCACACAUGAUGACAAAUAAUGCCAGAUUUACCAGCUUUGUUUCAUAGCAAACCACACUUUAGCAGAUUAAUUCGCAAACAACUGGAGUUUGCAUUCACAAAUCUCACACAGUCAAACACAACUUCAGAGUUAACAAGCUUAAUGUGGCUAGCGCUACCUCUCUGCC